rnacentral:RNase_P_RNA from 1 species
UGUCGGAGAGGAAAGUCCGGACUCCACCGGGCAGGGUGCUGGGUAACGCCCAGGCGGGGCAACCCGACGGAAAGUGGCACAGAGACACACCGCCAGCGGCCCCGACCUGCGGGUCGGGGUGCGGGCAAGGGUGAAAUCGUGGGGUAAGGGCCCACGGCAUCCAGUGGCGACACUGGUGCGGUCAAACCCCACCCGGAGCAAGGCCGAAUAGGGGGACGCUUCCGGCGGCGCGCAGCCGCCGGAGACCGGCGCCCGGCCGGGUCCCCGGGUUGGCCGCUUGAGCCCGGUGGCAACAUCGGGCCCAGAGGGAUGGCCGCCACUCCUGGCUUCGGCAACGGGCUGGGAUGACAGGAUCCGGCUUACAGGCCUCUCUGGCCC